rnacentral:lncRNA from 1 species
GCUAUUUCUUUGGGCCGCUCCCGCAGCAUAUGGAGGGUCCCAGGCUAGGGGUCUAAUCGGAGCUGUAGCCGCUGGCCUACGCCAGAGCCACAGCAACGCGGGAUCCGAGCCACAUCUGCGACCUACACCACAGCUCACGGCAACGCCGGAUCCUUAACCCACUGAGCAAGGCCAGGGACUGAACCCACAACCUCAUGGUUCCUAGUCGGAUUCGUUAACCACUGCACCACGACGGGAACUCCUAUUAUUUUCUGUUAUAGUUGGUUUAUAGUGUUCCAUCAAUUUUCUCCUGUAGAGCAGUGACCUAGUCAUACACACACACACACACACACACACACACACACACACACACACACUCUCUCUCUUUGUGCCAUUUGGAAUUCUUACCAGCAACGAAUGGAAGUUCUUUUUGCUCCACAAACUCGCCAGAAUUUGGUGUUUUGUGUUCUCGGUUUAAGCCAUUCUAAUAUGUAUGUAGUGAUAUUUCAUUGCUGUUUUAAUUUGUAUUCUCUGGGGCCUCUUUUCAUGUGCUUAUUUGCUAUCUGUAUAUCUUCUUUGGUGAGAUAUCUGUUGAGGUCUUUGGCCUUGUUUUAAUUGAAAUCUCUUCUUAUUAUUGGGUUUUAAGCUUUCUUUUCGUAUUUUGGAUAACAGCUGUCUGUCAGAUGGGUCUUUUGCCAAUAUUGCCUCCCAGUCUGUGGCUUGUCUUUUCAUUCACUUGACAUCAUUUUUCGCAGAGCAGAAAGUUUUUAUUUUAGUGAAAUCCAGCUCAUCACCUCUUUCUUUCAUGGAUCAUAUCUUUGGUGUUUGACCUCACAAGUCAUUGCCAAGCCCAAGAUCAUCUGGAUUCUCUCCUCUUUUGCCUUCCAGGAGUUUUAUAGGUUUGCAUUUUAUGUUCACAUUUGUGAUCCAUUUUGAGUUAAUUUUUCUGAAGAGCAAUCUGGGUCUGGAUUAAUUUUUUUUGCAUUUGGAUGUUCAGUUGUUCAGUUGGUGUUUAAUUUUAUUUAUAAAUAAAUAACCUUUAUUUGGAGUUCCUCUGUAGUGCAACAGGAUCGGCUGCAUCUUGGGGGCGCUAGGACACACAUUCGAUCCCCAGCCCGGCACAGUGGGUUAAGGAUCCAGCAUUGCCGCAGCUGUGGCUUAGGUUGCAGCUAGAGCUCGGAUCUGAUCCCUGGCUCAGGAGCUCCAUGUGCCGCAACGUGGCCAAAAAAGAAAACAAACAAACAAAAAACCAUUUACCUAUUACUACAGCAGACUAUUUCAGCCUGCAUUUACCAAGCAAGCAUCACCGAAUGUUGUGUUUCACAAUAUUCUUUCGGGACAAGUUAGAAGGUUAGACCCACUAAACAAGCUGGAGAGGCCAUGCAUCUAGUUCUCCCUCUUUGAGAUUCAAAUAUUCAGAGCAUAUUAAAAGUUCUGAUGAGUCCUAAUCAGACGGCUUGUCUCUGUGUUUCCCAAACUUAUUUCACUGGUCACUCACUUUUUGCCCCCGAUUCUACUAAUUUCUCCAAGAAUUAAUGCUCCUGAACACACUUUAGGAAAUGCUUUUCCGGUCUGGUAUUCUUUUGCCUCCUUUCAAUCGCAUCUUCAUCAAGGAAUUGCUUUCUUACUUAUUCACAGGUUUAUGUCCAAUGGACAUUAGUAUUGCUGGAAUAUUAAGUACAUAUAAAAAUAGCUAGACAGGAUGCAUGAACUCAGUGAUAUAUUUCGUCCAUGUCCACCAUGCCUAAAACACAGCCCAUUCAAUCAAAAUUCUUCGCACGCUCAACACCAACAGCUAAUUACGCUUGCAGUCAAAUGCAGUGAGACGCUCCUUGUUAAAGCCACAGUCACAACACUCACACCCUACAAAUACUGAAUACAAUAGUACUUCACACGAGCUCUUCAUCCACAGAGACACAUGGAUGACAUCCAUUUCGUUAUUUCAUCCAAGUAUUCAACCGAGGGCAAUGGAAAACAAUUUGGAAGCUAUAAAUUGUCACUGAACUGAUGUAUGUGAGAUCACCACGCUGGUGUUGGCUGCUUUGAAGCUUUCAUGUGGAAAUGUGGGUUAUCACAUCAGAUUUGGGAUACUGACUUGAUGCUAAAUAUUCAUUAACCAGACUAAAAUCUAUCACCUAUUCAGAUAAUUUCAGUCCCUUCUCUCUUAGUCAAUCCAGAUCUUCCAAAUAUCUUCCUAGCUUCCUCUCUACCUCCCUAUCUAGGUAUGCCUGGGAUUUCUGCACUAAUGACCCUGUGUAUUACCAGAAACUUGGACCGCAGAGGCAGGAAAUGAAGUGUUGAAAAAAAAAAUAUGUUUUUAACAUUCACAGGAAUUAUUAUACAUAUUUUAUGGGGGAAAAGAAACUUAAAACAGAGAAGAGACUCCAAAACUCUGUCAUAUGCCAACAACAUACACCAGAAAUAACUAACUCCAUCCCGCCACUUAGCAAAAUAACUGGGUGAAAGUUCUUGGUUUCCAGGGAUGCUAAAUAACCCACAGGGCUGAUGAUGAUGAGAUGAUUAGCAUAUGCUUACGUUUUUCAGGACUGAAUUUCCAAUAAAUGCCUUCCUUGGCUAAAACGUUUACAUUUAAAGAAAUGUGCAAUAAGGCACAGGCUUAUUUCUAGCCCCAUCUAAGCCCCAGAAUUCUGCAGAUACCAGUUUAAAUUGGUAAGGCAUUUUUUUUUUUUUCAUACCAGUUGCUUAACAGGAUUUUGCUCCAUCAAGCACACAUUAAAAAAAAAAAAAAAUUUGAAGUGACACACUACAUCAUAGCUGGAAACAACAAAACAUUUAAAAGGUCUUUUGUAUAACAUAUUGCAAGUCGCCAGCUGUUUUUCUGAUCCAUAGAGCAAAUCCUGCUCUGAAAGACUGCUGCCCAGAAGGCACGCGCUGACAUUGAUUUGAAUCCACCAGCUCUCCCGGUGGAUCAGAUGGCAUCUCAGCACUGGAAUCAGUAUUGCUAUCACAUACUCAUAUGUCGCCUCAUGGGACAAGAGCUGCAAGAAAUAUGAAGGGAAAUUGCUCCCGUUAGGGGACAGCUACAUUUAUUCCCGUUAAAAAAAAAAAAAAAGCCACCACCUAGAGUGUGCAUAUUUAAAUGCCGCUUAACUGAAAAAAGAGUCCACCCUUUUUUGCCCAAAUGUUAAUACACUCAGCAUAAUAAUCCACCAUGUCUGUUUCCUAGCCCUAUUCUUAGCCUUCCUUGGGGUUGAGCUAACUAGCCAAGUUCUUUUCAAGGCCAUGUGAAAAGGAUUUGUCCUCUCAGAAACUCACCACCAAAGACAUUUCAGAAAAAUGUCUGAAGGGGCUUCCACUUCUGCCUUUGUGUCCGUGUCCAACCUCGGAAGCGCACCCACCUUCCCAGAAAGAGGAAGGGCUCUUUCCAUCUGUGAAUCAGGUUCAGGGACAUUUCUACAUUUUUAUUUAUUCUUCAAUUUCCAGGAUGGUCCUUUAGUUUGAAGGACGACAACCAUUUGGGGGAAAGCAAUUUCAAAUUUUAACUGAUUUUCUAAGCCACAAAUAAAGUGGCUUCACUUGAUGGAAAGCUGUGUCAUGCACCUAAGAGUUCAUUAGCUCUCUCGGCCUUUGCUUCUUCACAUGAACAAAAAGAUCCUGACUCCAAGUAAAUGUCUGUGAAGCUCAGUAAUUCCAAACAGCCUGGCUUCAGCCUAGGCUCACAGAAAAACACAGAGCCCUACCCCAAACCAUAUGCUUAUAUCCAUCCAUCCAUCCAUCCAUCCAUCCAUUCAUCCAUCCAUCCAUCUAUCCAUCCCCCCAACAGAUUACUUAUUGAAUACCCACUAUAAACCUAAAAACACAGGCAUGGAUAAACAGACAAGGACUCUGCUGUCACACAACUCACCAUGCAGGAAGGAGGUAUGAUUAUUCAUAGGAUGUGUUACCCUAAAAACACUGUGAGUCAAUCACAGCUGUUGUAUUCAAAAGGUUUACCUUAAUUCUAUGCUUUUCUCAGUGGGUUCUGUGCCAGGAAAAUAUUCAGGACAACAUCUUCGGUUUAAGAAGAUAAAAUAUAUUUAGCAAAAGAAGAUGACACUUGUCCUCUAAAGAUACAGCCUGUCAGAUAUUCUUAAACAGAUAAGAACCUUAACGGAAGAACUCAGAAAUACAUUUAAUAUAUAACACUAAGCACGUGAUGGAAGCAUAAAUGAUGUCAGUAUGAUAAAUUGUCGCUUAAGUAUUUCAUUCAGAAAAAAGUAAAAUAAAUUCUUGUGGGUUUCAGAUCGUAAAGGAAGACAGCAUUAAAUGCAGAGCUUGUUUAGCAAAAAUAAAUCCAAUAGUCACAGUAGCAAGAGCCUCAUGGGAAUAACAGGUCAUUAGAAGCUUUUAAGAGUCUCAUAACAGAUGACAUUCCCUUAGGUCUUUUUCAAUCCCAACUUGGCCCAAGUCAUUCUCUUUCUUGGGCUGUUUUUUAAGUCAGUAGGCUGCAGUAUAAUACAUCUUGACAUCAUAACCUAAAAUAUCAGAUCAGCUCAAUUGUUAUGCAAGUAAUGUUGCUUUGCAAAUGACUGCUGGGAGAGGGGCUGCCACCAAGUGAAGAGGAAAAUGCGUGCCACGUCCACUCCCCGCUGCCUGUGGCUUAAUCUGAAAUAACAUCUGUGAAGGAACAUGUGACACUUCGAUCCAACAAUGCAUUUGAUGGGCAAAAGUAUCUGUAAUAAAAUUUCGAGUACAAGGGAAUCAGGACGCUGCAGCUUUCACCUCUGCCUGUCCCUACUCCCACCGCCCCACCUCUGCCCAACUCCCCCCCAGGAAAGGGGCCGGCGGGAAUUGGCUCGCUAUGGAGAUCAGCUCUGUAUAGUGUUCACCCAACAGCAGCGAUGGGUUUCUCCUUUUCGAGCACAGUGUGACCCUCUUAGAAUCUCAAGGAGGCUGCUAACACAGUGUUCUUCUCUGUGCAACCCUAAUUCAAAAAGGGUUGAAUUCAAAAAAUUAUAUUUUAUAAUUAGUAUCUAUGAGUAUUGAUACUCAUGAGGUAUCUUUUUUUUUUUUAAACUUUCUUUUUUAGGAAUUAUUUUGGGAUCUCAACUAGCAUAUUUAAUGAGCUUACAUAUAAUCGCAGGGGGUGUUGGGCAAUUGACUCAUGCUGAGAUUUAAAAGAUAGAUGAAAGGAUGCAGAGGAGUAGAUGCUGGGAAAUAUCUCCUGGAUGGACAUACUCAGGGCAUGCCUGUGUCUUAGGAUAAAAACACUGGAAAAAAAUGAUAUAUGCAUAUGGAUGCAAAAAUAUCAGAAUUCCU